GACGAACGCUGGCGGCGUGCUUAACACAUGCAAGUCGAACGGAAAGGCCUACUUUCCCUUGUGGAUUGCGGGUACUCGAGUGGCGAACGGGUGAGUAACACGUGAGUGAUCUGCCCCCAACUUGGGUAUAAGCCUGGGAAACUGGGUCUAAUUCCCGAUAGGACUGCAGGGUGGUGCCUGUGGUGGAAAACGAUUUUCUAGUGGUUGGGGAUGAGCUCGCGGCCUAUCAGCUUGUUGGUGGGGUAAUGGCCUACCAAGGCGGCGACGGGUAGCCGGCCUGAGAGGGUGGACGGCCACAUUGGGACUGAGAUACGGCCCAGACUCCUACGGGAGGCAGCAGUGGGGAAUAUUGCACAAUGGGCGGAAGCCUGAUGCAGCGACGCCGCGUGGGGGAUGACGGCCUUCGGGUUGUAAACUCCUUUCGACCGCGAGGAAGCCACCUGGUUGGAAGGGUGGUGACGGUAGUGGUAGAAGAAGCACCGGCUAACUACGUG
rnacentral:rRNA from 1 species